UGGGGAAUAUUGGACAAUGGGGGCAACCCUGAUCCAGCCAUGCCGCGUGGGUGAAGAAGGCCUUAGGGUUGUAAAACUCUUUCAGCGGGGAAGAUGAUGACGGUACCCGCAGAAGAAGCCCCGGCUAACUCCGUGCCAGCAGCCGCGGUAAUACGGAGGGGGCUAGCGUUGUUCGGAAUUACUGGGCGUAAAGGGCGUGUAGGCGGUUUGUCUAGUCAGGCGUGAAAGCCCCGGGCUCAACCUGGGAACUGCGUUUGAUACUGGCAGGCUAGAGGUUGGAAGAGGAGAGUGGAAUUCCCAGUGUAGAGGUGAAAUUCGUAGAUAUUGGGAAGAACACCAGUGGCGAAGGCGGCUCUCUGGUCCAUACCUGACGCUGAGGCGCGAAAGCGUGGGGAGCAAACAGGAUUAGAUACCCCCGUAGUCC
rnacentral:rRNA from 1 species